GAACGAGCCAAGCCGAGUUUCGCCCGGUCCAGCUCGGUGACUCGUUGAGGCCCAGCCCAAUCCCGUCGGCCUCGCAUCGCAUUAGGUCGCAACAGAGAGAGCACGCACGCAACGCAGUUUCCUCACCCUUCUCCCUUUCUCCGCCCGGCGCCGCCACCCCUCUUCGCCGCGCCGCAAGCUGGACUCAUGGGGCUCGGCAUCGACGGCGAUGGGCAACGCCGCCUUCCCUCACCACAACGGACGCAGGCGGACGCGUCUCCCCUGGUUUCUCGUUGAACGACACAGGCAGAGCCCCACUGUCGCAAGAAUGGACAAGGAAAAGGGAAAGGAGAGGAGGAGGAGAAGGAGAAAGAGAGGUGCUUGGUCUCCAUUAUGAAGACUAAGCCGCCUACCCCAGGAAGCAGAAGGGGAAGGGCAAGGGCUGUGUCGCUGCCAAGGAAGCGGGCCAAGGAAUUACGGCAUUGUCCCGCUCGCCAAGUUGUUAUUACGGGUAAAAAAAAACUCCACCGCCUUGACAUCUCGCUGACCCCGCCGACGCCAGCGUGUGUGCCACGAUCGCCGCUGCCAACGGCUUCGCAAACGACUCCGAGAGGGAGACUACAUCUUCACCGGCAAUGGAGCAUGAUAAGCAAGGAGAGAAGGAUUAUGAAGAGGAAGAGAAUGAGGAGGAAGAGGGUGAGUAAGAUACUCUGUUUGAGGAGGAAGAUUCUCAUUUUGAUGUCAAAGCACUAAGUGUUAUGCUAUGCAGAAUUGCAUUGUUUGGCUGUCAACGUUCAAUAUUUUUGCCGUAUAAAGUUCAAAGGAGGAGCUGUCCAAAAUUCAAAAGCAAUGAUGCCCAAUUCUUUCUUAGUCA